UGGCUGGACUGCAUUUUUCUUUCCCUCCUUAGUCACCGAAGAUUGGAAACAAUAUUCUUUUGACGAUCAGUGCAUUCUCAGUAAUGCAAUGUGCCUGCAUGCAAGUGUGAAUCUUGCAGUGGAGAAGGAAGACAAACUUUGCUACCUGUGAAAUGAAGACUUCUUAGGUAGCAGUGGAAAUGAAAACAAUUCUAUUUAUGAUAUUGUUCACAGACUCCACAAAUGAGUAAAUUGGUGACUUCAGUGGGAAUUGCUCAUAAACAAGAAAGAAAGGGUCAUCUGGAUUCUUCUGAAGGUAAGAGUCAGGGCCAGAAGUCUCCGUGAAAGACCUACCCAAGACACAAGAAGAGGAUCUCACCUACUGCCUCUUCUCCAGAGACUCCAUCCUGGACUGAGGUUCAG